rnacentral:rRNA from 1 species
UAGGGAAUCUUCCACAAUGGACGCAAGUCUGAUGGAGCAACGCCGCGUGAGUGAAGAAGGUUUUCGGAUCGUAAAGCUCUGUUGUUGGUGAAGAAGGAUAGAGGCAGUAACUGGUCUUUAUUUGACGGUAAUCAACCAGAAAGUCACGGCUAACUACGUGCCAGCAGCCGCGGUAAUACGUAGGUGGCAAGCGUUGUCCGGAUUUAUUGGGCGUAAAGCGAGCGCAGGCGGAAUGAUAAGUCUGAUGUGAAAGCCCACGGCUCAACCGUGGAACUGCAUCGGAAACUGUCAUUCUUGAGUGCAGAAGAGGAGAGUGGAAUUCCAUGUGUAGCGGGGGAAUGCGUAGAUAUAUGGAAGAACACCAGUGGCGAAGGCGGCUCUCUGGUCUGCAACUGACGCUGAAGCUCGAAAGCAUGGGUAGCGAACAGG